rnacentral:rRNA from 1 species
UACGAAGGGUGCGAGCGUUGUCCGGAGUUACUGGGCGUAAAGCGCACGCAGGCGGUCUGCUAAGUCUGGUGUGACAGUUGGUGGCUUAACUGCCAAAGUGCUUCGAAAACUGACAGACUUGAGGGCUUCAGAGGGACACGGAAUUCCGGGUGGAGUGGUGAAAUGCGUAGAGAUCCGGAGGAACACCAAAGGCGAAGGCAGUGUCCUGGGGAGUACCUGACGCUCAGGUGCGAAAGCCAGGGGAGCGAACGGG